GUUCAGUAAGGAUUGGUGUCUAUUUUUAGAACUAAGGAUAAUUUCACUUUUAAAUGUCAUCGCUCUGUGGUAACUACAGCUGGACAGACUCAAGACAUUUUCGCUGUAAACGAUAUAGCAUUUCACCCUACUCAUGGGACUCUGGCUACAGUUGGCUCGGAUGGUAGAUAUUAUUUCUGGGACAAAGACGCUAGGACAAAAUUGAAACAUUCUGAAGCUAUGGAUCAGCCAAUAACGUCUUGUUGUUUCAAUCACAGUGGACUUGUAUUUGCAUACGCUGUUAGUUAUGACUGGUCGAAGGGCCACGAGCACUAUAAUCCCGCCAAAAAGAAUUACAUAUUUUUGCGUCAGGCAAACGAAGAUUUAAGACCUCGUACCAAAAAACGUUAAGACAUUAGCAAGUGGGAGUGCUAGAUACUAAAUUGUAGUCAUUAUUAUUAUUAUUAUUUGUUCUCUUGUGUUUUUUUGGGAGUGACACGAUUGUAUUAGGCAUUAUCCCAUUCUUGGCAUUAUGAAG